AGUAACUAGACAAGGAAAUUAGAAAUCUGAAUCCAGAUCGCCCCACUCUUAGCCUAAGCCACACUGGCUCGUUUUGAAUUUCAUCUGAGCCAUGAUGCAAUCAUUAAGGCACUAACAAUGCAUGCAGAACAAGGGAGCUGUGUUCUACCAGAAAAUUCAUCAAGUUAGCUAAAGCAUUUAUUUCUGGUACUUAUAAUAUAUCACCUGGUAACUACACUAAAACUGUAUAAAAACCAGCUUAGAAAGCACAGUAGAGUGCAGCAGUGCUAAUAAUGGCAAUACAGAUGCCAUAAAAGCACCAUAAUAAAGCAGAAUCAGAAGAAACACAAACCAAAAAA